UACGUAGGGUGCAAGCGUUGUCCGGAAUUAUUGGGCGUAAAGAGCUUGUAGGCGGUUUGUCGCGUCUGCUGUGAAAUUUCGGGGCUCAACCCCGAACUUGCAGUGGGUACGGGCAGACUAGAGUGUGGUAGGGGAGACUGGAAUUCCUGGUGUAGCGGUGAAAUGCGCAGAUAUCAGGAGGAACACCGAUGGCGAAGGCAGGUCUCUGGGCCAGUACUGACGCUGAGGAGCGAAAGCGUGGGGAGCAAACAGG
rnacentral:rRNA from 1 species